AGUUCAUAUCGACGGCGGUGUUUGGCACCUCGAUGUCGGCUCAUCACAUCCUGGGGCUGAAGUAGGUCCCAAGGGUAUGGCUGUUCGCCAUUUAAAGUGGUACGCGAGCUGGGUUUAGAACGUCGUGAGACAGUUCGGUCCCUAUCUGCCGUGGGCGAUGGAGAACUGAGGGGGGCUGCUCCUAGUACGAGAGGACCGGAGUGGACGCAUCACUGGUGUUCGGGUUGUCAUGCCAAUGGCACUGCCCGGUAGCUAAAUGCGGAAGAGAUAAGUGCUGAAAGCAUCUAAGCACGAAACUUGCCCCGAGAUGAGUUCUCCCUGAGACUUAGAGUCUCCUGAAGGAACGUUGAAGACGACGACGUUGAUAGGCCGGGUGUGUAAGCGCAGCGAUGCGUUGAGCUAACCGGUACUAAUGAACCGUGAGGCUUAACCUU
rnacentral:rRNA from 1 species